rnacentral:rRNA from 1 species
UUUAUAUUCCUACGGGAAGCAGCAGUGAGGAAUUUUUCACAAUGGACGAAAGUCUGAUGGAGCAAUACCACGUGAACGAUGAAGGUCUUCUGAUUGUAAAGUUCUUUUAUUUAGGAAAAAAAGCGUGCUAGGAAAUGAGCGCGCCUUGAUGGUACUAAUAUUAAUUCUAUCUUAGAUAGC